UGGGGAAUAUUGGACAAUGGGGGCAACCCUGAUCCAGCAAUGCCGCGUGUGUGAAGAAGGCCUUCGGGUUGUAAAGCACUUUUAUCGGGAAAGAAACAUUGUCGGCCAAUACCCGGCAAGACUGACGGUACCCGAGGAAUAAGCACCGGCUAACUCCGUGCCAGCAGCCGCGGUAAUACGGAGGGUGCAAGCGUUAAUCGUAAUUACUGGGCGUAAAGCGUGCGCAGGCGGUUUGUUAAGUCUGCUGUGAAAUCCCCGAGCUCAACUUGUGAAGUGCAGUUGAUACUGGCAAGCUGGAGUACGGUAGAGGAAGGUGGAAUUCCCGGUGUAGCAGUGAAAUUCGUAGAGAUCGGGAGGAACACCAGUGGCGAAGGCGGCCUUCUGGACCAGUACUGACGCUCAUGCACGAAAGCGUGGGG
rnacentral:rRNA from 1 species